CCCUAUUGUGAGUUUCACCCGGAAAAUAUUUCACCCGAAAAAUUAUUGUUCCCCCGGAAUUUUUAAAGCUAUUGUGAGUUCCACCCGAAUGAAUUUUCACUUCGAAUUAGAGGUGACAUUUCGAAAAAAAGAAGCGUUCAUUGAAAAGGCAAAUACAAGCUGAACGAAAUAUCUGAACAAAUCCCAGAAAAAAAUACAAUAGGACGGUGUUCUAGUUUUGCAAAUAAAUUAUUAUUUUCAACCCCUUUUGGAAUGAAAAUGACAAUUUGUUGAGUUAAAAACUUUAUUAAAUAUUUUUUGUAUGUUAGAAGUAAUUUUUCAAGAAAAAAAAAACAAACGACGGUAUCCAUAACCAAAACAAAAAAAACCGGAACAAUUCAGAACUACAUCACUUCGAACACGGCUAAACAGAUUUUUGACAGAUGAGUGAAGUGUGAAUUAAAAUUUUUAAAAAAGUAAACAAUAUCCGUGCAUUCCGUGAUUCCGUCUUUAACUCAUAAAAAUAAAUAUACUUGAAAAUAAGUAAAUAAAACAAAUAAAAAUUGUUUUUUGUGAUUCUGCCGUAGCCUUUAUUUGCUCUCAUCAAAAGCAACAUGUAUAGCAUAGCCCUGAGGGAAAUGAUUAAUGAUGAGGAAGAAAAACAAAAACAAAAAUCAAUCAGAAGACAACUCAGAGAUUCUUCAAACCCUUUGGAGUUGCGUGAGCCAUUAUUUCAUCAACACUAUCGAGUAAAUAAAGAAGCCUUCAAAUAUUUGUUGGAUGUUCUUUCCAGUUCCUUGCCCCCAGUAAAACAAAAAUUUGGUGUGCCCCCAAUUAUAAAACUUGCAGCCACCUUACGUUUCCUUGCGGAGGGCGGGUACCAAAAGGGAGUUUGGAAGGACCAUGAAGUUGGGUUGGCACAACCAUCUGUAAGCCUUAUUAUGGCUGAAGUGUUGAACG